GGGACUGCGUUGGCAUUUCCACGCAAUCAGCAGCGCGACAACUGACAUUUUGGAUCCAUAUCGCUUGGCUGCUAUAUUUUUUGUACAUUGGAUUUGUUGUUGUUGUUGGUUUCUUGGUAUAUUGUGGUUGUGAAUAGUUUGUAUAGUUGGAUGUGUUUUUUUUUGUUAUUUUACGCUGACACACGCGACUGACACAGAUUACCCAGUGACAGCGACGACGACGACUUUGAUGGUGGUGGGCGCUGGGGCGUAAAAAACUAUACUAGCACGACGACGAAUACGUCGACGACAAAUGAUAUUGAUGUGAAGGUGAGGCGGCAAGCCAGCCGCAAUGCCUAAUAGCAGCAGGCGUGCUAGAAGCUCUACCGCGCCAUCACACUGCUUGGAUGAUAUUGAGUCAGAAGAACGAGCGGUGAUAGCCGUCUCUCUAGAGCUGGUUGGGUUGGUCGGGCGACUAAGUAUGUCGGAGUCGGUGUAUAGCAGCAGCAGCAGUUCGGGUGAAUCAGACUGACCAGCUGAUGAUGAUGAUGUCGGUCGGUUCGCUACAAUAUUGUGCUGCGCUGUGCUUUUUUCAUGCUUAUAUAUGUGGUGCUAGUGCCCGUCCCGCGCUCGUCACUUCAUCAAAAGAGACAGUUUAGGGGUUAAAUCAAAGAUGAAUUUCUCAAACUUUAUUAUAUUUGCAAUUUUUGGAGUCAUCCUCGUUUUUGUUAAGAACAUUGAUGCUACUAGGAUCUCACAGCAAGAAGCUAGUGAUGCAGUUGAUUUCGGUUUGGGAAUAGCUCAACAAGCUAUAAGUGGAGCAGGCCAAAUAGCCCAAGAAGCAAUUAAUGAGUAUGGAAAUGGAAAACGACAAUAACAAAUUCAUUCAAUAAUAUCAACAACUGAUGAAAAUAGAUUAAUAAAA